rnacentral:tRNA from 1 species
GCCACUGUGGUAUAGUGCUUUGAGCACUGGUCUAUGACUCUGGAGACCAGGGUUCGAAUCCCAGCUCGGUCA